GGAAGCAACUAUUUGUUGCUUUCAAAAAACAGCUUUUUAUUAUGAAAACACGGGUGAACAGUACCGUUUAAUGAAAAUUUUCAAAUGGCCAUCCUACCUUCUCGCAUCUCACUUCUCACUUUUCUUCCUUGCUCUGGCAUCUCACUUCACUCCUUCCCGUUCACUUCACUCCCUCCCGUCCACUCAUUCACUUCCCAACUCCUAACUCCUAACUCGUCACCCCAAGACCCGAUCUCCAACCUGAAACUUCCUUCCUCCCAGCGAUCUCUGUCGUUCUCCAGGUCGAUCUCUCUCGUUAUCUUUUCUGGGUUCUGUUGUUUUUUUAUGAAUUUCUGGGUUCUUUGCUUUUUUAUGGAAAAUGUGUUAACUUUUCUGGGUUAUUUUUUUUGGGUUAAUAGCUUUUUCUGGGUUUAAAGAGCUUGUUUUAGACAUUUGAUUUAUGGGUUUUGUUGCUUUGUUUGUUAAGCAUGAAACUCUAUUCCAGAGUCUCUUUUUUAAGUUUUUCCUGUUUCAAUUUUUUUUUGUAGAUCUGUUCGAAUCUGGGGUUCAUAUAUCUAAGGGUUUCAUUAAUUUAUUGGUUCUAUAAUUUACUAUAAUUUAAGGACACUUCUGAUUGCAUUUUUUUGCAUUGCUGCAUUUCCAAGAAUAUUAUAUGCAUUUUCUUGAUUGUUUGGGAAUUGGUUUCAGAUUCUGGAGCCACUUAUUGGGAAAGUUUGGAAAUUGGAAGAUUUUGAAUCACAUCCUGCUUACUGGCUUUGGAUAAAAUUCGACUUGAGAGCCUUAGAAAAGCAAGCUCGAUGCUCAGCCGGAGCUUUUCAUCAGGAUUGUGCCUGACAAGGACAACAAAACCCUCUCCAUCAUCGACAGUGGAAUUGGCAUGACCAAAGUAGAUUUGGUGAACAGCUUGGGUACAAUUGCAAGGUCUGGAACCAAAGAGUUCAUUGAAGCAUUGCAAGCCAGAGCUGAUGUAAGCAUGAUUGGGCAGUUUGGUGUUGGUUUCUACUCUGCCUAUCUUGCUGCCGAGAAGGUUAUUGUGACCACCAAGCACAACGACGAUGAGCAAUUCAUCUGGGAGUCACAGGCUGGUGGUUCCUUCAUUGUCACAAGGGAUGUCAGCGGCGAACAGCUUGGUAG